rnacentral:rRNA from 1 species
UACGGAGGGUGCAAGCGUUAUCCGGAUUCACUGGGUUUAAAGGGUGCGUAGGCGGGCAGGUAAGUCAGAGGUGAAAUCUCCGGGCUUAACCCGGAAACUGCCUUUGAUACUAUCUGUCUUGAAUAUGGUGGAGGUAAGCGGAAUAUGUCAUGUAGCGGUGAAAUGCUUAGAGAUGACAUAGAACACCCAUUGCGAAGGCAGCUUACUAAGCCUAUAUUGACGCUGAGGCACGAAAGCGUGUGGAUCAAACAGG